AGGUCGCCUAAGGAAAGCAGGCAGAGGGUGAACACGUGUCAUAGCUGGUACCACCACAGGGCAGCUGGGGUUUUAGCACAGCCCUGCAAAAACGGGAGCCCCAUGAACCGUCCCACAGAGCCCAGAGGGACCAAAACCAGGUCACAGACAGCAUGGUGCAAGUUUCCUCUCCUCCCGGCUGCUGAGCCAGGCACAGAGCACGGAGCCAUCUGCAGGCACCGAGGGGCGAGCAGCAGACUUCAUCGUGCUGUCCACACUGCCUACAUCUCCCUCCCAGGGACAUGACAGAAGAAAGCAGACUGGCAUUGCUGUCUAAUGAGUUGUAUGAGGACUGCCACUGUGCUGUGAGAGCUGGAUCUUCAGAGAUGUCAGAAGUUUGCUUGUUUUGCUCUGAAAACUAGUAAAAAGCUGAAGCCUUGACGGGAGGAAAAGAGGAAGAACAGUUCUGCAGCAAUGCCAGUGGGCAUCUGCAAGCACAAGGGACACUGAGAUGCUACAGCUAAUGCAAGUAGCUGCUGUGACAGUUUUUCAGUUUGCUUCUCUGUAUCACUUUAACAGAUCAAGAGAGAGCUGAAAUCAGCUUUGCAGUCUCCACUGCACCCCAAUCUACACAGAGAGAUCACUCUAUGUGCUGGAAUACUCACUGCUGCUGCAUCAAACAAGUGGAAUGGAGCAAAGAUGAUCAUCACUUUGGACACCAAGGGGCUUAGGCUGACCUGUGCACAGCAGGGCAGUGAUGCAGGAGGUCUUGGCUUGCAUUACAUCCCCUGAUCCCAAGGCAUUGCCCACUCUGACACUCGCAGCCACGCUGAAGCCCAGAGGCACCUGAGUAUCAGGAGACAAAGAGGAGAUGCAGCAUCCUACAGAAUCAGCCCUGGAGACAAGGACACUGCUGGCAGGAGAUGCUGAGGGACACACUCAAGAGGUGGCCACCAGAGCAGGCAUGGCUGCACCAAACGACAAGGAUUGGGACUCACCUGCCA